GGACCCUGAGGUAGAUUGGGUGGUUUCAACAGGAACGCAUCCACUGUCUGAGAGUUUAAACUUGAUUUUGUGAGGGGACGAACAGCGUGACAAUUAAAAGAAGAUCUGGGAAUCGAGACCAGGCCUCAAUCUGUCACCAAGGCUGGAGUGCAGAGACAUGAUCAUAGCUCACUGCAACCUGGAACUCAUGGGCUCAAGCAAUUCUCCCGCCUCAGACUCCCGAGUAGCUGGGACUAUAGAUCCAAUGUGAUAAUUUAUGUGAAAUCUUUCUGCAAACUAUACAGUAUGAUAAAAAUAUAAGGUAGUUUCACUGGAAACAACAGAAGACUAGAAGCUGAUGUGACGUGGCAAUAUCAACCAGGAAUACCCAUCUCGAGUUCUGGAUAUGUGCUCUGAGAAGGUGCCCAUGUCACCGACCACACUGGAGGCCAAUGCAGAUACUGGGGGAAGGUUCCAUGGUAGCUAAGUGUGGACAAGCUAAUCACUGAAGUUCCCUGAUGCAGAGUUGAUAAUCUCUCUAGAGUUGGAUGAAAGACUGUGCUGCCUUGAAGCUCUGAGAGAUGCCAUGCCAAUUCAAGGCAGGGUCUUUAUUGUUGAAACUCUUGCGUAAUGACAUCUUUAUUCAGGUGAAAAUACAGGAUGAAUUUCAACUAUAUGAUAUUGUUUAUGUUCCUCAGACAUGUUAUUUGUCUUUACAAAGAUUGGUUUCAAUAAACUGUGUGACUGAUAUUAAAUAAACAUGGAAUUU
rnacentral:lncRNA from 10 species